GGCCCCCGCAGACAGCGGAGACCUCGCCGGCGGCCGGCGCGGAGGUGUCUGCCCCCGCCGGGCUUGAAGGCACUUGUCGGGAAAGACACAGACGUGUCGGUGUUUGCCUCUCCCGGGGAAGGGCGAAAUGCUCUGAAGUUGGCUUCCAGCUCGGGGCAUGAUUCUGACGCCCUACCUGCCCUGGGCCGCCCUUGGGGUCCCACCGCAGCCAAGAAGAGGGCUGCGCCACCCUCGUCACCAGAAACCCUAUAUCCAGAGGAAGUGUGCGGACCUAUCCCGGGAUGUGGAGAAAGGGGGUCGCCGAGAAGGUUUAUGACGAGCUCGAACAAGCACCCCCACUUCCCUUCUGUGGGCUAAGGCGUCAUAGGUUCCCGCUUUACCACUUGCCCAAGGACAAGUGACUUUGCUCUCUGAGCCUCAAUUGCUUCCGUUGUAAAAUGGGAUUAAAUUCUCACCUUUCUUAUUGGGUGCUAAGGACAAAAUGAAUUGAAAUGUCCAUGAGAACCCAACAGGAGCUUGGCCCCCAUGAGCAGAUGGGGAGGGGGCCUGUCGGGAGAAGCGGCUUCCUGCCUUGGGGACGGAGCAUGCUUCUCCUCCCAGGAGCUGACGGAGAUGGCCUACAGCUGCUGAGGCAGGACCCAGCUUUUCUUAUGCCCCACGCUGGGGCAGACAGAACCUGAGGGCAAUCAGGCCGCCUCUUCCUUUUCAGGAUUCUCUGAAGGCUGGACUUGGGAGAUCCUGCUUCCUUCUCCCCCGGUUUAUCCCAUCUGCCCUGCUGCUGGUGGCCAUCCUAGAAGGGAAACCAAACCCUUCCACGUUGUAGAAGAAGAAGUGAGAUGAAAGGAAAAUGAAGCAAGUUGGCAGUCGUUCAGAAGCAAGGGACUGGUCCUGGCUCUGAAAGGGACAGGCCUUUGAGUGGAAGAGGAGGCAAGGGAGUGGCCAGAGUGCAUGUGGAAGAAGUAGGGUAUCUGGGCUUCAUGGGGUCCAGAGACCCCCUGCGGCAAAGGCUGAACACACGUCUGGGGUUCUGGCCAGGUGAAUGUCCUUGGUCUGCAGCUCCGACCGUGCCCUUUCUUGCAGGUAUGAGUUGCCUGGCCUCAUGUGACAGACUCUGCCUUCCAUGCCUUACAGGUGUUAGGAAGAUUCAUUUUUCCACAUGGCUAACUUUAGUAUGAAGCUUUGCUUUAUGAAUUCCAAACCUAAAUUGCUUACCUUCUGUUUGUGUCCCCCUCCUUUCCACCCCGAGCCUUUCUCCUUGCUCCUCUUUUCUUCUCUGCCUUCUGUAACACAGUGCAUCCUUCAAGACCUUUCUCAAGUGUCACCGCUUCUCAGAAGCCUUCCCUGAUCCACCAGCCUUCCACUCCCGUGUGCCUUUGUCCUCUUCUGACCCCCAGGCACUUGUAUGUGCCUCUCUUAUUGUGCUUAUUACAUUCUCUAGCCUGGUUGUGUUGUGUCUUUGUCUUCACUCUGGUCAUUACUCAUCUUAGUGGCUUCUGUGUUAUGAGUUGCUGCAGCAGACAAAUCUCUGGUUUUGGAGUUAGAAUGACUUGGGUGUAGCUGGUUCCCAGCAAUUGGAAACUAGCUGAGGGAGUCAGUUUUCUUGGCUUCACUGUCCUCAUCUUUUAAAGUAGGUAUGAAACCCUGUCCCUGGCUAGAUUAGCAAGGAUAAAUAAGAGUUUCUGUUCUGCGAAUGCUCUUCUCCUCCCUUUCUGCACACAUAGAACUGAUUUUUGGAUUAUAUUAAAUUUAUUACCAGAGGAGUCCUUGGUUGAAGUAUUGUUGAGUGACCAUGUAUGCUUAUUGUAAAUACACUGAAAUGUCUAAGAUCCAGGCAAUGGCCCACUUAAAUACCUUUAAUCUGUCUUAGUGAUGGUUUUGGUCAGUAUCUUUGUUUGUUGCAACUGAAUUAUUUUUUAGUAAAACUUUUCACUAGCAACAAUAUCAGGAUCAACCUGUUUAACUCUUUUCUGGUUACAAACAAGCGGGAUUUUUAGCUGUAUGCGAUUUGAAAACAUGAAGAUAGGCUGCCUCUUCUCACUGGCACCAUUGGGAUCCACAUACACAUUUCUUCAUGUGACGAUUUGGACUCACAUAUAUGGAAUCAGUAGGACUUGUUGAAAAUUGCUAAUUAAUCUUCUGUGUUUUCAUUUAGAAUCCCAUACCUGCUAAGUGUGACUUCUGAAAUCAGUCCUCGUAUUUAUUCUCAGAUGUGAUGGGCUUCUCUACCAUUCCUUGGAAACAUGUGAGAGGAAACUGAGAUAGAGAAACCACCCUUGAAUGUAGAAAAGAAACUGGCACCAGCUGGGAAAAGAUCAUCCAGAUCACACUUCUGUUCUCCUACAGGUCAGUAAUGGGACCUGGGCAUGAUUUUCCUGUUUCUAGGCUUCAGUUUCUUCAUUUGUCAAACGAGGCAUCCUGAGGCCCUCCCUGUUCUUGCAGUCCUUCCCUCCUGCCUCUAUGCUCCAGCCUUGCCAUUAUAUGCCUCUAUGCUCCAGCCUUGCCUAUAUGCCUCUAUGCUCCAGCCUUGCCAUUUUUCUUUUAUGUCCAAGUUCUUGUUACAGCGGGCAUGAAAAACAGAAUGUCUUCCCUGAUACCAGGGAUUUUAAAAAACUUUAUUAAAAGGUAAAAUCUGAAAAGGCACAAAAAAAAAAGAAAAUCUCUGCAACCUCUUUGUAUGGAGGCAGGAAGCAGUUCUUUUUAAAUGAGAGGCUUAGUUGGGUUGCUGUGUCCCUGAGGGAGGCCUUUCCCAGGGGUAGGUGUGUUGUGAUUGCCCAUCCUGAGAAUGACUGGCAGAGGCUGAGGGGCUGGAGCUGAGCAGUUUGAGUUGGGGGAAGCAGGGCAGGUGGGUGUUGUGUGAAUUCUCUGGGAGCCAGUGCCUGUGUGAAAUGAUCAGUUGUUAUUCUGCUUGUCAUUAGCUGGGAAUGUGGGCUCCGUUUUGCCAGAUUUCCUGAGUUUUCAAGAGAAGCUGGAAAUAUUCUGAUAUUUUAAAGUUGGCACCUAAUUCAAAUUUUUGAUAAAUAUGGUGUGAGUCAAACAAAAUAUGUUUGUGGGCUGAAUCUGGCUUACGUGCUGUUCAUUUGCACCCUCUGCUAUAAAUAGUGAUGUCUCCUUGAGGCCUGGGCUUGCAGUAUAUAGUAGGUGUGCAGUAAACAUUUGUAGAGUGAAUAUCACUCCUGAUGGUGAGUGGCUCACAGCCCGCCUGAGCUUUAAAUGGAAUUCUCAAAAGCCACACAGAGAUGAAUAACAAGCUUUUUGUGUUGGAUAUAGAAUCCAUUAAUGGGCUGUUGAACUUCUAUAAUACUUAUACUUUGAUAAGACUCUAUCUAGUUAUUAGUAGUUAGAACAAGGAACUAUAUCCAAUCUCUAGGGAUAGAACAUGAUGGACGAUAAUAUUUUAAAAAGAGUGUGCAUGUAUAUAUGACUGGGUCACUUUGCUGUACAGCAGAAGUUGGCACAACAUUGUAAAUCAACUACAAUAAAAAAUUCUUUAAAAAUGUAAAUCAACUACUUUAAUUUAAAAAAACCAAAGCAAAGAAACAACAAAAAAAUCCCCCCAAAACAAACAAACUAAAAAUAAUUCUAUGAAAUAUAGACUAGCCUCUCCCUGGGGAAAUAGUUCUCACAAGAAAUUUUUCCCUGGUUAGUAUAAAUGAACU
rnacentral:lncRNA from 1 species